CCGCCAUCCACGUGUGCCGACCCAUCUCUUCUACUAACGAGGACGGACUAUAGCGAGGUGACUGGUGACUUGGCCCAGGGAGGACAGUGCACGUCGGGACACAGGGUGGGGAGGUGCUGCCGGUCGUCUCUCUUAGCUGACCGACUCGGGUCUUUAAAUGUAUGAUGAUGGAUCCAAUUGGUUGUUACUGCUGUUAAAGGCCAGUUUGCUGCAUCAGUGGUCGUCAGCGUGGGUAGUACAGCACCUCGUCAGCGUGGAUAGUACAGCACCUUCUUAUUUACUGGGGAUGAUGACUUAAAGAUGGAGGAUCCAACAAAUGACCUAAGAGUUUUCUGGUGAACCGACUUGCUGCACUGCUCCAGUCCAGGGUAACUCAUUGUGGUUUCUUCACUAAACUUGACAAGAGUACUGUACUGUAAUUGUAACCCAUGGACUGCCGUGUCUAGUUAACUCUUUUAAGUACAUGUAUCAAUCAAGUAUUAUUACUGUACAAUAUUAGGGAUGCACCAAUUAAUUGAUAAAUUACAAAUAUCCAUAUUUUGUGGAAUAAUCUGUACAGGUAUUGGUAAACAAAGUAUUAGCUGAUGCCAUUUUGCGGUCUAUUUUGGGUUGAGAAAUUAAUCUAACAUUUUUAUUACCAGCAAAAUACAGUAAUUACGGAAACCAGUUAGUCUGUUCACUUAUUAUGGUAAUGUCACUCUCGGAUGCCGAUCAUUGUCUUGUAGUUGUGAUGGAUAACAUGGCAGUGUCUGUGCAGGUCUUUGUACAACACUUCAUUAUACAGUACCGGUAAUAAAUAUAUUAUCAUGCCAGACAAAGUAGCUCUUAUUUAUUCUGAAGAGAAAAAUAAUCCGGUAAAGACUGUCGCUGACGAGGAAGCCUUGUUAAAGCACAUUACUUAUUUUAUUUACCAAUAUACUAUACUACAGUAGACUUAAAUCCUGCAAAAAUUAUGAAAUAUAAAACCCAGCUGUUCUUAAUAUUGCAGCUUCAAGAUUUCUGUAAUACUAUUACCCACUAAAGUUGAUGUAUUUGUGGACGGGUUUCUUUACCACCAGAGGAAAUUGUUUCAUUUAAAUACUGUACUGUAUUUGGCCGAUACUUUGUUUAUAGUCUGGCUUUGGUGGCGAGACUAUAUAG